GGGUACCGCUGAAUCCACCCCUCCCCCUGCAUCGUUCGGUAUAAACGAUGCAGACGG
rnacentral:ncRNA from 1 species